rnacentral:misc_RNA from 1 species
GAUGAAGAACGCAGCGAACUGCGAUAAGUAAUGUGAAUUGCAGAAUUCAGUGAAUCAUCGAGUCUUUGAACGCACAUUGCGCCCCCUGGCAUUCCGGGGGGCAUGCCUGUCCGAGCGUCAUUGCUGCCCUUCAAGCCCGGCUUGUGUGUUGGGUCGUCGUCCCCCCCGGGGGACGGGCCCGAAAGGCAGCGGCGGCACCGCGUCCGGUCCUCGAGCGUAUGGGGCUUUGUCACCCGCUCGAUUAGGGCCGGCCGGGCGCCAGCCGGCGUCUCCAACCUUCUAUUUUACCAGUUUGACCUCGGAUCAGGUAGGGAUACCCGCUGAACUUAAGCAUAUCAAUAAGCGGAGGA